GUGCUCGCUUCAGCAGCACAUAUACUAAAAUUGGAACGAUACAGAGAAGAUUAGCAUUGCCGUUGUGCACAAGGAUGACACAUAUAUUCGUGAAGUGUUCCAUAUUUUU